CGGGUGAGUAACGCGUAAGUAACCUGCCCUCAAGUGGGGAACAACUCCUAGAAAUGGGAGCUAAUACCGCAUGUGGUGGUCAAAAGUAAAGCCGCGCUUGAGGAGGGGCUUGCGUCCGAUUAGCUAGUUGGUGAGGUAACAGCCCACCAAGGCGACGAUCGGUAGCUGGUUUGAGAGGACGACCAGCCACACGGGGACUGAGACACGGUCCCGACUCCUACGGGAGGCAGCAGCCAGGAAUAUUGGGCAAUGGGCGAAAGCCUGACCCAGCGACACCGCGUGGGGGAAGAAGACCCUCGGGUUGUAAACCCCUUUUAUUAGGGACGAAUGACGGUACCUGAUGAAUAAGCUUCGGCAAACUACGUGCCAGCAGCCGCGGUAAUACGUAGGAAGCGAGCGUUAUCCGGAUUUAUUGGGCGUAAAGCGGGCGUAGGUGGCCUUUCAAGUCCGAUGUGAAAUCUCCCGGCUUAACUGGGAGGGUGCAUCGGAUAC
rnacentral:rRNA from 1 species